rnacentral:rRNA from 1 species
GAUGAACGCUGGCGGCGUGCCUAAUACAUGCAAGUCGAGCGAACGGACGAGAAGCUUGCUUCUCUGAUGUUAGCGGCGGACGGGUGAGUAACACGUGGAUAACCUACCUAUAAGACUGGGAUAACUUCGGGAAACCGGAGCUAAUACCGGAUAAUAUUUUGAACCGCAUGGUUCAAAAGUGAAAGACGGUCUUGCUGUCACUUAUAGAUGGAUCCGCGCUGCAUUAGCUAGUUGGUAAGGUAACGGCUUACCAAGGCAACGAUGCAUAGCCGACCUGAGAGGGUGAUCGGCCACACUGGAACUGAGACACGGUCCAGACUCCUACGGGAGGCAGCGGUAGGGAAUCUUCCGCAAUGGGCGAAAGCCUGACGGAGCAACGCCGCGUGAGUGAUGAAGGUCUUCGGAUCGUAAAACUCUGUUAUUAGGGAAGAACAUAUGUGCAAGUAACUGUGCACAUCUUGACGGUACCUAAUCAGAAAGCCACGGCUAACUACGUG